rnacentral:rRNA from 1 species
CCUACGGGGGGCAGCAGUGGGGGAUAUUGCACAAUGGGGGGAACCCUGAUGCAGCGACGCCGCGUGGGUGAAGAAGCGCCUCGGCGCGUAAAGCCCUUUCAGCAGGGAAGAAAAUGACGGUACCUGAAGAAGAAGCCCCGGCUAACUACGUGCCAGCAGCCGCGGUAAUACGGAGGGGGCAAGCGGUAUCCGGAUUUACUGGGGGUAAAGGGGGCGCAGACGGCGAUGCAAGCCAGGAGGGAAAGCCCGGGGCCCAACCCCGGGACUGCUGUUGGAACUGCGUGGCUGGAGUGCAGGAGGGGCAGGCGGAAUGCGUGGUGUAGCGGUGAAAUGCGUAGAUAUCAGGAGGAACUCCGGUGGCGAAGGCGGCCUGCUGGCGUGCAACUGACGUUGAGGCCCGAAAGCGUGGGGAGCAAACAGGAUUAGAUACCCGUGUAGUC